UGGAACUCCCAUACCACCCUGAACGCGCCCGAUCUCGUCUGGUUUCGGAAGCUGAAAAGGGUCGGGCCUGGUUAGUACUUGGAUGGGUGUCUCUUAUUUUUUAGGAGCACACUUUAUACCCAGCCCUUAGUUCCUU
rnacentral:rRNA from 1 species